rnacentral:rRNA from 1 species
AAUGAACGCUGGCGGCGUGCCUAACACAUGCAAGUCGUACGAGAAAGGGGCUUCGGCCCUGAGUAGAGUGGCGCACGGGUGAGUAACACGUGGGUAAUCUGCCCUUGGAUUUGGAAUAACUCCGCGAAAGUGGAGCUAAUACCGGAUAGUCUGGCUUUUUAACGAAGUCGGUAAAGGAUGCCUCUGCAUAUGCUUUCGUCCGAGGAUGAGCCCGCGUCUCAUUAGCUAGUUGGUAGGGUAAUGGCCUACCAAGGCAACGAUGAGUAGCUGGUCUGAGAGGAUGAUCAGCCACACUGGAACUGAAACACGGUCCAGACUCCUACGGGAGGCAGCAGUGGGGAAUAUUGCGCAAUGGGCGAAAGCCUGACGCAGCAACGCCGUGUGAGGGAUGAAGGCUUUCGGGUCGUAAACCUCUGUCAGAAGGGAAGAACGGGCAUUGGUCUAAUAGGCCUUUGUUUUGACGGUACCUUCAGAGGAAGCACCGGCUAACUCCGUGCCAGCCGCCGCGGUAAUAC